rnacentral:misc_RNA from 1 species
CCUCCUCUUCUUUAAGUGCCUCAUCAUCACUUGAGUCUCCCUCAUAGUCGUGACCGCCAUAGUACUGUGGUUUUUUCACACCCCAUACUUCCUUCUUGUCUACAUCAUUUACUUCCUCAUCAUCAUGAAUUUCAUCAUCAAUUGCACCAAAUUUCUCUUUGAAAUAUUUUUGUUGCUUUCUAAUUUUUGCAGCAAAUUGAGUAUCCUGAGCAUCGUCAUCAUCUUCAUCAUCAUCCUCCUCCUCCUCAUCAUCAUCAUCAUCAUCAUCAUC